rnacentral:rRNA from 1 species
AGAGAUGUGUGAUGACGCAUAUCAAUAAGCGGAGGAAAAGAAACUAACUAGGAUUCCCUCAGUAACGGCGAGUGAAGCGGGAAGAGCUCAAAUUUGAAAUCUUCAAGGUUCUACCUUGACGAAUUGUAGUUUAAAGAAGUGUUUUCUGUUGGAGUUUUGGUAAAAGUUCUUUGGAAUAGGACAUCAUAGAGGGUGAGAAUCCCGUAUUUGACCAUUAUUUCCAACUUUGUGAUACACUUUCAAAGAGUCGGAUUGUUUGGGAAUGCAGUCCAAAAUGGGUGGUAAAUUUCAUCUAAAGCUAAAUACUGGCGAGAGACCGAUAGCGAACAAGUACCGUGAGGGAAAGAUGAAAAGAACUUUGAAAAGAGAGUUAAACAGUACGUGAAAUUGUCAAAAGGGAAGCGUUUGACACCAGUGUUGUUUUUUCGAAAAUCAAUUAAAAAUGGCAGGAUUUUGUGUUGUAUUGACUUUAUCAGCUUUCUGCACUUUUUUCUUGUCCUUUUUAAUGCACUUUUCGUUUAACAAGUCAACAUCAAUUUCUUUUGUUGUAAAAGGGUCAUUGGAAGGUGGCUUUCUUUUCGGAGAAAGUGUUUAUAGCCUUUGGCCUCUGCAAUCGGAGAGAUUGAGGUCUGCAGCGUAGAUCCUUCGGGGUUAGAUAGCAUUUGUGCUAAGUUAUAGCUUUCAUAGACAACUUGUUGACUAUGAUUUAGUCAUUGUAGCUUACUCGCUUAUGUCUAUUUUACCUACGCUUAGGAUGUUGACGAUCAGCUGAGCGCG